rnacentral:tRNA from 1 species
UAUGUUAUAGUUUAUGAAGAACAUCGAUCCUUGACAUCGAAAGAACAGUUUAAUUCUGAUAAUAUAA